AUGAGACUGUUGGGUCUUCUCCUUUGCCUGGGGACAGCUCCCCAAGUUGUCCUGUCUGAGGCGCAGCUGCAGGAGUCGGGCCCAGGACUGGUGAAGCCCUCGCAGGCCCUCUUCCUCACCUCUGCUGUCUCUGGAUUCUCCAUCACAACGAGUGAUAACUGGUGGAACUGGAUCCACCAGAGACCAGGGAAGGGGCUGGAGUGGACGGGGUGCAUAAGUUAUAGUGGAAGCAUCUACUGCCACUCGUCCCUCAAGAGCCGCACCUCCAUCUCCAGAGACCCUUCCAAGAGCCAGUUCUCCCUGCAACUGAGUUCUGUGACCACCAAGGACACAGCUGGGCUGCAGGGGGCACUCAAGACACUAGGGAGCACUCAGCUGCCCCUCAGUCUCCUGGAUGGAAAGCAGCCCACCUAA